rnacentral:rRNA from 1 species
UGGGGAAUUUUGGACAAUGGGCGCAAGCCUGAUCCAGCCAUGCCGCGUGAGUGAAGAAGGCCUUCGGGUUGUAAAGCUCUUUCGGCGGGGACGAAACGGUUCGUGACAACACCACGGACUAAUGACGGUACCCGCAUAAGAAGCACCGGCUAACUACGUGCCAGCAGCCGCGGUAAUACGUAGGGUGCAGGCGUUAAUCGGAAUUACUGGGCGUAAAGGGUGCGCAGGCGGUUUGUUAAGACAGGUGUGAAAUCCCCGGGCUUAACCUGGGAAUUGCGCUUGUAACUGGCAGGCUAGAGUGUGGCAGAGGGGGGUGGAAUUCCACGUGUAGCAGUGAAAUGCGUAGAUAUGUGGAGGAACACCGAUGGCGAAGGCAGCCCCCUGGGUUAACACUGACGCUCAUGCACGAAAGCGUGGGGAGCAAACAGGAUUAGAUACCCCCGUAUUCCCUGAGCGGGCUGGCAAGGCGCAU